GUGAGCUGGCGGGCGGCUUUCGAACGCUCGGCUUAGGGCUGAGUGUUUGAGGAAACUCCGUCCACAGUGCAGACCUGCAACGCUCGUUAAGGGCGUAGCGCGAGAGCGCUGGCAACAGAACAGAAACGUGACGUCCAUUCAGCGUGUGACAAUGAUGCGGUUCGGGCUGUUGAGAAGGCUGAAUGGUUACGGUGAAACGACUGUCCUGCAGGGUGAAAGGGCAAAUUGGCGUCGAUGAAGUUCUUGCGUUAGACGCGGGUAGCCCGUUUAGCUGAAUGCCGCCGUUGAACAGAAGACGGGUUACGACCAGCACAC
rnacentral:RNase_P_RNA from 1 species